rnacentral:rRNA from 1 species
UCAGGCAUAAUCGAAUCGUCGAACGCAAUUGNCGCCCUCUGGUAUUC